rnacentral:rRNA from 1 species
AGAGUUUGAUCAUGGCUCAGGACGAACGCUGGCGGCGUGCCUAAUACAUGCAAGUCGAACGAGGUCUCCCUCGGUGGCAACACCUUGGGGGUACCUAGUGGCGAACGGGUGAGUAACACGUGAGGAACCUGCCCCGAAGACCGGGAUAACCAGAGGAAACCCUGGCUAAUACCGGAUGCCCCCACCGGAUCGCAUGGUCUGGUGAGGAAAUGGAUUCCGCUUCGGGAGGGCCUCGCGGCCUAUCAGCUUGUUGGUGGGGUAACGGCCCACCAAGGCGUCGACGGGUAGCUGGUCUGAGAGGACGAUCAGCCACACUGGGACUGAGACACGGCCCAGACUCCUACGGGAGGCAGCAGUAGGGAAUCUUGCGCAAUGGGCGAAAGCCUGACGCAGCAACGCCGCGUGCGGGAUGAAGGCCUUCGGGUUGUAAACCGCUUUCAGCAGGGACGAAAUUGACGGUACCUGCAGAAGAAGCCCCGGCCAACUACGUGCCAGCAGCCGCGGUAACACGUAGGGGGCAAGCGUUGUCCGGAUUUAUUGGGCGUAAAGAGCUCGUAGGCGGUUUCGUAAGUCGGGUGUGAAAACUCUAGGCUCAACCUAGAGACGCCACCCGAUACUGCGAUGACUAGAGUCCGGUAGGGGAGUGUGGAAUUCCUGGUGUAGCGGUGAAAUGCGCAGAUAUCAGGAGGAACACCAACGGCGAAGGCAGCACUCUGGGCCGGAACUGACGCUGAGGAGCGAAAGCGUGGGUAGCGAACAGGAUUAGAUACCCUGGUAGUCCACGCCGUAAACGUUGGGCACUAGGUGUGGGAUCUUUCCAACGGAUUCCGUGCCGUAGCUAACGCAUUAAGUGCCCCGCCUGGGGAGUACGGCCGCAAGGCUAAAACUCAAAUGAAUUGACGG